GUGGGGAAUAUUGGACAAUGGGGGGAACCCUGAUCCAGCCAUGCCGCGUGUGUGAAGAAGGCCUUUUGGUUGUAAAGCACUUUAAGCGAGGAGGAGGCUACCGAGAUUAAUACUCUUGGAUAGUGGACGUUACUCGCAGAAUAAGCACCGGCUAACUCUGUGCCAGCAGCCGCGGUAAUACAGAGGGUGCAAGCGUUAAUCGGAUUUACUGGGCGUAAAGCGCGCGUAGGUGGCCAAUUAAGUCAAAUGUGAAAUCCCCGAGCUUAACUUGGGAAUUGCAUUCGAUACUGGUUGGCUAGAGUAUGGGAGAGGAUGGUAGAAUUCCAGGUGUAGCGGUGAAAUGCGUAGAGAUCUGGAGGAAUACCGAUGGCGAAGGCAGCCAUCUGGCCUAAUACUGACACUGAGGUGCGAAAGCGUGGGGAGCAAACAGGAUUAGAAACCCGGGUAGUCC
rnacentral:rRNA from 1 species